rnacentral:lncRNA from 7 species
AUAUAACGUGGGCAUCCGUCCCUCCGGACUCCGGACUCCGGGCUCGCCCGCAAGCAAGCGCGGCCUCCUCCGCGCGUCCCGUCCGCGGGACUGCGGGAGCUCCGUCGUUGCGCUAUUUCAAUUAUUUCAACGGCUGAUAGUCAAAACAGCCGCCUUUACGAGGACGGUGGACUACCUGGCAGUAGAGAUAGUUUGUCCGGCGGCAAAUUCGAUGAUAGGGCGCGGCCAGCGAGCGAGGAAAGAGUGACAACCGGUACACGGUGUCAACUGUCGACGGCGGGAACGAAAGUGGAAGUUUAGGUCACCGGCGGACUGGGAUUAGGAAAGGAUCGGCAAACAGCAGCGGGGAUGGACGGCCGGUGGUGAGGUCGCCAGCGAGCGAGCAUCGAGCAAGGUGAACGAGAAAGAACUGUGUCCAGACACUAGCAUUUGUUCGGACGCUAGUACGGCCGUUUUGUGCUAAUGAUGUGACCGCUCUAUUUCUACUACCACACAAAUUUCAGACCAGAUUUUACCCGGUUAAAUACUUCGAUCUUUGGUUGUCGUUGCCAUGAUUUUCUGUAGCUUCCGGGACAUGCCCAAAAUGCUUCGGCUGCUUUCCCGUCAUCAAAACUUCCGCACUUUAGCAAUCAAUUUACCCUUUG